rnacentral:rRNA from 1 species
CAAUAGCGUAUAUUAAAGUUGUUGCGGUUAAAAAGCUCGUAGUUGGAUUUCUGCUGAGAACGACCGGUCCGCCCUCUGGGUGUGUAUCUGGCUCUUUCUUGGCAUCUUCUUGGUGAACGUUGCUGCACUUGACUGUGUGGAGCGCUACCCAGGACUUUUACUUUGAGGAAAUUAGAGUGUUUCAAGCAGGCAUACGCCUUGAAUACAUUAGCAUGGAAUAAUAAGAUAGGACCUCGGUUCUAUUUUGUUGGUUUCUAGAGCUGAGGUAAUGAUUAAUAGGGAUAGUUGGGGGCAUUCGUAUUUAACUGUCAAAGGUGAAAUUCUUGGAUUUGUUAAAGACGGACUACUGCGAAAGCAUUUGCCAAGGAUGUUUUCAUUGA